AAACCCCAUACCCGAAACCCCAAACCCCAAUCCCCAAACCCGAAACCCGAAAGCCCAAACCCGAAACCCAAAACCCAAACCCCCAUCUUUAAUUUUCUACUUCAUAUAUUCCAAACCCCAUAUUUAAUUUUAAGUUUCGUCGUUAUUCCUAAACCCCAACCCCAAAACCCAAAACCCGAAAGCCCAAACCCGAAACCCGAAACCCCAACCCCGAAACCCGAAACCUCAUACCCGAAACCCCAAACCCCAACCC
rnacentral:lncRNA from 1 species